UGGGGAAUUUUGGACAAUGGGCGCAAGCCUGAUCCAGCAAUGCCGCGUGCAGGAUGAAGGCCUUCGGGUUGUAAACUGCUUUUGUACGGAACGAAACGGCUCUCUCUAAUAAAGGGGGCUAAUGACGGUACCGUAAGAAUAAGCACCGGCUAACUACGUGCCAGCAGCCGCGGUAAUACGUAGGGUGCGAGCGUUAAUCGGAAUUACUGGGCGUAAAGCGUGCGCAGGCGGUGAUGUAAGACAGAUGUGAAAUCCCCGGGCUCAACCUGGGACCUGCAUUUGUGACUGCAUCGCUAGAGUACGGUAGAGGGGGAUGGAAUUCCGCGUGUAGCAGUGAAAUGCGUAGAUAUGCGGAGGAACACCGAUGGCGAAGGCAAUCCCCUGGACCUGUACUGACGCUCAUGCACGAAAGCGUGGGGAGCAAACAGGAUUAGAUACCCUGGUAGUCCACGCCCUAAACGAUGUCAACUGGUUGUUGGGUCUUUACUGACUCAGUAACGAAGCUAACGCGUGAAGUUGACCGCCUGGGGAAGUACGGCCGCAAGGUUG
rnacentral:rRNA from 1 species